rnacentral:rRNA from 1 species
CCAAUAGCGUAUAUUAAAGUUGUUGCAGUUAAAAAGCUCGUAGUUGAAUUUCGGGAUCAAUAUUGUUGGUCGUGCCUUGGUACGUACUAGUUUAUUGGUUUCUUCCUUCUGACGAACCAUGAUGUCAUUAAUUUGGUGUCAUGGGGAAUCAGGACUGUUACUUUGAAAAAAUUAGAGUGUUUAAAGCAGGCUCACGCUUGAAUACAUUAGCAUGGAAUAAUGAAAGAGGACGUUUGAUUCUAUUUUGUUGGUUUCUAGGAUCGACGUAAUGAUUAAUAGGGAUAGUUGGGGGCAUUAGUAUUCAAUUGUCAGAGGUGAAAUUCUUGGAUUUAUUGAAGACUAACUACUGCGAAAGCAUUUGCCAAGAAUGUUUCCAUUAAUCAAGAACGAAAGUUAGGGGAUCGAAGACGAUCAGAUACCGUCGUAGUCUUAACCAUAAACUAUGCCGACUAGGGAUCGGAUGAUGUUAAUUUUUUUAAUGACUCAUUCGGCGCCUUACG